GACGAACGCUGGCGGCGUGCUUAACACAUGCAAGUCGAACGAUGAAGCCGGAGCUUGCUCUGGUGAAUUAGUGGCGAACGGGUGAGUAACACGUGAGUAACCUGCCCUUCACUCUGGGAUAACUGCUAGAAAUGGUCGCUAAUACCGGAUACGACCCUCGGAGGCAUCUCCAGGGGGUGGAAAGAAUUUCGGUCAAGGAUGGACUCGCGGCGUCUCAGCUAGUUGGUGAGGUAACGGCUCACCAAGGCGACGACGGGUAGCCGGCCUGAGAGGGUGACCGGCCACACUGGGACUGAGACACGGCCCAGACUCCUACGGGAGGCAGCAGUGGGGAAUAUUGCACAAUGGGCGCAAGCCUGAUGCAGCAACGCCGCGUGAGGGAUGACGGCCUUCGGGUUGUAAACCUCUUUUAGUAGGGAAGAAGCGAAAGUGACGGUACCUGCAGAAAAAGCACCGGCUAACUACGUGCCAGCCGCCGCGGUAA
rnacentral:rRNA from 1 species